GGUUGGUAGCUCAGUUGGCAGAGCAUUGGGCUAGUAUUCCAAAGGUCGUAGGUUCGAUUCCUACCGUGGCCA